UACGGGGGAGCAAGCGUUGUUCGGAUUUACUGGCGUAAAGGGCGCGUAGGCGGCCAGCACAAGUCAGUUGUGAAAUCUCCGAGCUUAACUCGGAAAGGUCAACUGAUACUGUGCGGCUAGAGUGCGGAAGGGGCAACUGGAAUUCUUGGUGGUAGCGGUGAAAUGCGUAGAUAUCAAGAGGAACACCUGCGGCGAAGGCGGGUUGCGUGGCCGACACUGACGCUGAGGCGCGAAAGCCAGGGAGGCGAACGGG
rnacentral:rRNA from 1 species